rnacentral:rRNA from 1 species
CCUACGGGGGGCUGCAGUGAGGAAUAUUGGUCAAUGGGCGCAAGCCUGAACCAGCCAUCCCGCGUGCAGGAAGACGGCCCUAUGGGUUGUAAACUGCUUUUCCAGGGGGAGAAACUUGCGCACGUGUUGCGCAAUUGACGGUACCCUGGGAAUAAGCAUCGGCUGACUCCGUGCCAGCAGCCGCGUUAAUACGGAGGAUGCGAGCGUUAUCCGGAUACAGUGGGUUUAGGGGGUCCGUUAACGGACUGGUGAAAUCCUGCAGCUUAACUGCAGAACUGCCAUUGAUACUGGUAGCCUUGAGUUUGGUUAAGGUAGGCGGAAUGUGUAAUGUAGCGGUGAAAUGCUUAGAUAUUACACAGAACACCAAUUGCGUAGGCAGCUUACUGAGCCGACACUGACGCUGAGGCACGAAAGCGUGGGGAUCGAACAGGAUUAGAUACCCCUGUAGUC